UACGGGGGGAGCGAACGUUGUUCGGAAUCACUGGGCGUAAAGGGCGUGUAGGCGGUUCGGUAAGUGGGAUGUGAAAUCCCCCGGCUUACCCGGGGAACUGCAUCCCAUACUGCUGGACUUGAGUGCGGGAGAGGAUGGAGGAAUUCCUGGUGUAGCGGUGAAAUGCGUAGAUAUCAGGAGGAACACCUGUGGCGAAGGCGUCCAUCUGGCCCGUUACUGACGCUGAGGCGCGAAAGCUAGGGGAGCAAACGGG
rnacentral:rRNA from 1 species